AGUAAGGUCAGCUAAACAAAGCUCUCGGGCUCAUGCCUCGAACAUGAAUAUUCUUCCCUUACUA
rnacentral:tRNA from 1 species